GGAUUUCUAUAAACAAAUUGUAAUAUACAAACUCAAAUUGUAUAAUAAACAGACUUACAAAAUUCGAAAGCUGUACUCAAUUCUCUAACGGGUUGAAGUUUUCGAAUCGAAGAUGUGCAGUUCCGGCUCUUGUUGUCAGACUUGUCAGCCUUGCUGCUUACCAUGCUGUCAACCCUGCUAUCAACCCUGCUGCCAACCCUGCUGCCAACCCUGCUGUCAAUCAUGCUGCAGCCCUUGCUGUCAGCCAUGCUGUACUCCAUGUUGUCAACCUUGCUGUAGCCCAUGCUGUCAACCUUGCUGUAGCAGUUGCAGUUCAUGUUGCAGUGGUUGCUGUGGUAAAUGUGGACCGUGCUGCUCACCUGCAUGCUGCGGUGGCUGCUGCGGUAGCUGCUGCGGUCCAUGUUGUGGCAGUUGUUGUGGAAAAUGUGGACCAUGCUGUGGACCAUGCUGUGGACCCUGCUGCAGUCCCUGCUGCGGGGCCUCCUGUUGUGGUCCUUGUUGUGGACCUUGUUGCAGUCAAUGCUGUGGAUCUAAAUGCUGCUAACCCACCGAUCGUCAUCCGCUUAAGCUACUACUAACAUAGAUUCGGUAUAACCCGUUAGAGAAUUGAUAUAUAACAUCCACACUUCGAACAAUAAAAAAUGUUUUUUAUUAUAAGUAACUAA